UACGUAGGUGGCAAGCGUUGUCCGGAUUUACUGGGCGUAAAGGAUGCGUAGGCGGAUGUUUAAGUGAGAUGUGAAAUACCCGAGCUCAACUUUGGGUGCUGCAUUUCAAACUGGAUAUCUAGAGUGCAGGAGAGGAAAGCGGAAUUCCUAGUGUAGCGGUGAAAUGCGUAGAGAUUAGGAAGAACACCAGUGGCGAAGGCGGCUUUCUGGACUGUAACUGACGCUGAGGCAUGAAAAGCGUGGGGAGCAAACAGG
rnacentral:rRNA from 1 species